AAUUAACAGACAUAUGCAAACGGGGGAGCCCGUGUAACAGCGGUUUUGUGAUUUGGCUCUGUGGGGUAUCAUUCUUGCACAUUGUUACUUUAGUACAUUUACAAAAAACUUACAGCCAGGGAAUUUUCGGAUGAGAAGUUUCCUUAGUUCAUCGUAGACCAGUACGAGGAUGGUGUACUCUAUGGUCACAAACCAGUACUCGACCCUGCAGGGGAAAAAAAAGAA